rnacentral:rRNA from 1 species
AUCUUGCGCAAUGGGCGAAAGCCUGACGCCGCCAUGCCGCGUGAAUGAUGUAGGUCUUAGGAUUGUAAAAUUCUUUCCCUGGGGACGAUAAUGACGGUACCCGGCGAAGAAGCCCCGGCUAACUUCGUGCCAGCUGCCGCGGUAAAACGAAGGGGGCUAGCGUUGCUCGGAAUUACUGGGCGUAAAGGGCGCGUAGGCGGAUCGUUAAGUCAGGGGUGAAAUCCCGGGGCUCAACCUCGGAACUGCCCUUGAUACUGGCGAUCUUGAGUAUGAGAGAGGUAUGUGGAACUCCGAGUGUAGAGGUGAAAUUCGUAGAUAUUCGGAAGAACACCAGUGGCGAAGGCGACAUACUGGCUCAUUACUGACGCUGAGGCGCGAAAGCGUGGGGAGCAAACA